UCAUACUUCACACUCAAUGCUGAUUGUAAUAACCUAAAAUUUAGGUUAAAGUGUACCGUUUUGAACGCUUGUUUGGCUCCAACAGUGAAAACCGAAAUAAUUAAAUAAAGUAUUCCUUUAUCUGUUUUAAUGGAAAGAGUUGACAAACUAUUGUCGUCUACUACUAACUAUCUGAGCAUUAUUAAAUGUGACACUACCGAUAGGACACUGCCAUUUAAGUGUGCAGUUUACGGUUGUGCAAACGAGUUUACCGAUUUUAAAAGUCAUCAGUCUGCGACAUUCAAAUUCCACAAUUUCCCCACCUGUGAAAGAACUCGUCGCCAGUGGUUGGACGCGUGCGGCUUGCCGGAGGAAACUGGAAUUACAAAUGCAAAAAUUUGCUCAGAUCAUUUUACGUUAAAUGAUUACAGCCGAAAGCUAAAAGAGGAGCUGUUGAAUCCUGGAUAUAAAAGAUUGCUAAGUGAGAGUGCAGUACCUUCAGUUAAUAUCAGGCCUUAUUCACCAUUUGCACUCAACCAAUUACCUACAACACUCUCUGAGAAAUUAUACCAACCUUCUGCUUCACCACCUGCUGUUAAAGCUCCUGGAAACGCACCUAAAUCAGAGAGCGAUCUACAUCGAAAAAUUUUCUCGUUACGCAGAGAGGUACUAGAUUUACAAAAAAAAAAUGCGGAUAGUCGAAUAGUCAUCCACCACAAGAAAGCUAGCUUAGAAGCAUCUAGAAAGAAGUUAAAAAAAGUUGCUCAGGAAUUAGAAAGUAUAUUAUCACCCAAUAUUCCAGAAACAUUUCUUUCUGAAGCACAGAUAAACCUUUUAAAAGGAAAGAAAAAAGUUUUUUGGACUGACGACGAUUUAGCCAAGGCUUUUACGUUACGGCAUAGAGGAGGCAAAGAAUUAUAUUUGUAUUUAAGGCAUACUUUAAAUUAUCCACUACCGGCGUUAAGCUGUGUUCAAGCUUGGGCAGGCAAUAUUUAAAUUGAACCAUUCAAACCGCCAAGAUGCAAAAAGCAACUCCGUUGUGCAGUGUUAUCGGUUGCUCAAAUGGAAAAAAAGCAGCUAUGGAUUAUAUCACUUUCUAUUAUUUGCCCAAAGACAAAUUCAGAAGAAACACAUGGAUGCAGGCCUUAAAUGGACAUAUUUUGGAUGAUACCCCAUUAUCAAACAUUUUGAUAUGUGCCAAUCACUUUGAAAAGAAUAAUUUUGAAGCAAAUCGUUCUUUAAAGAAAUCCGUAGUUCCUAGCAUUUUUCCUGUGGCGGCAAAUAGUGAUGAACCUUCCACACAAAUGGUGAGAAUUUACACCGUUGAACUCCGCGAUAAUUUUCUGGAAAAACCAGCGCCUCUUCUCAGUAAUUCUGUAUCUGACCUAAGCAGUAUUGAUUCGGAUCUAAGUAGUUUUGAUGGCUCGCCAAGUUCCGAUAGUUGCAGGCAGGAAUUGUCUCGAAAAAACUGUGAUACACAAUCAGAUGAACUUCGACGCGAAUUGAAACGUUUGGAGACCCUUAAAAACCAACUAUUUGACGAACAGAAGCAGCUUGCUGAAUGCGAGAAGGAACUGACAGGCUCUUUAAGAUUAAUAGAGAAAGAAAUUCAAGAUACGGAAUUAGAAACCAAAUUGCUUGGCGAUAAACAACUAGAAAUGUUAAGGAAAUGUUUGUCUCCAGCUCAAAUUAGACAUCUGUUCAAUAAAGAGAAGGCAAAAUGGAGUGUGGAUGAUACUGCAGUGGCAUAUACGAUAUCAUGUAUGGUGUCGCGCGAUUUUUAUAGGUACAUGCGUGAUCAGCUGAAAUUUCCUUUGCCAAGUCUUUCUAUUAUUAACAGACAUUACAGAAUGUUUCGGCCCAAGAAGACAUUAGUCCACCAGCCUAACAUAAGCAGCAAAUAAUGCUUAUAUCAUGUAUUUAAUUUACACGAAUUGCUAUUCUGUAUUGUAAUAUUGAGUCGAAUUGGGACAAAUGAAUAUUUUAAUAAAAGUGUAAAAAUAA